AAGUCGAGCGCACUGGCCCAACUGAUAUGAUGUGCUUGCACUGAAUUGACGUUGGAUUCCCAGUGAGCGGCGGACGGGUGAGUAACACGUGGGCAACCUGCCCUGAAGCAGGGGGAUAACAUCUGGAAACAGGUGCUAAUACCGCAUAACAACGAAAACCACAUGGUUUUCGUUUUAAAGAUGGUUUCGGCUAUCACUUCAGGAUGGGCCCGCGGUGCAUUAGCUAGUUGGUAAGGUAACGGCUUACCAAGGGCGAUGAUGCAUAGCCGAGUUGAGAGACUGAUCGGGCCACAAUGGGAACUGAGACACGGGGUCCAUACUCCUACGGGGGGAGGGGCAGCAGUAGGGGGAAUCUUCCACAAUGGGCGCAAGCCUGAUGGAGCAACACCGCGUGAGUGAAGAAGGGUUUCGGCUCGUAAAGCUCUGUUGUUGGUGAAGAAGGAUAGAGGUAGUAACUGGCCUUUAUUUGACGGUAAUCAACCAGAAAGUCACGGCUAACUACGUGCCAGCAGCCGCGGUAAU
rnacentral:rRNA from 1 species